rnacentral:rRNA from 1 species
GACGAACGCUGGCGGCGUGCUUAACACAUGCAAGUCGAGCGGUAAGGCCUGCUUCGGUGGGUACACGAGCGGCGAACGGGUGAGUAACACGUGGGUGACCUGCCCUUAGCUCUGGGAUAAGCCUGGGGAAACUGGGUCUAAUACCGGAUAUGACCAUAUGUCGCAUGGUGUGUGGUGGAAAGCCUGGUUGUUGUGGACUGGGUGGCUGGGGAUGGGCCCGCGGCCUAUCAGCUUGUUGGUGGGGUGAUGGCCUACCAAGGCGACGACGGGUAGCCGGCCUGAGAGGGCGACCGGCCACACUGGGACUGAGACACGGCCC